rnacentral:rRNA from 1 species
CGGGAAGAGCUCAAAUUUGAAAUCUGGCGUGCUCAGUGCGUCCGAGUUGUAAUCUAGAGAAGCAUUAUCCGCGCUGGACCGUGUACAAGUCUCCUGGAAUGGAGCGUCAUAGAGGGUGAGAAUCCCGUCUUUGACACGGACUGCCAGGGCUUUUGUGAUGUGCUCUCAAA